AGCAACGGAGAGGAUGCCAUUCAAUAAAAAAAAAAGGUGGAAAAAGAGGUAUGUAGUUGUUCAUGGAAAGCUGACAAACACAGGAACUGUCAAAAUGCAUCCUCCACUUGACACACCUCUUGUUUCAGGCAGUGCCUGUUUUGUGGUCAGUGGGGAGUAUGUAGGAUAUGUAUCAGAGAAUGAAAAAAAUUAAAAAGUUUAUGGAGUGGGUGCAAGACACAUACAGCCCUGAUGCGUAUCUCUGGGCCCUAUCUAAAGGGUCCCUGAAGUCUUCAGCUCACUUUCCUUAAGCCAUAAGUACAACUUGUCGGACAUGCACGCAGUUGCCAGGCGGGUCAAGUGGCAGUAACUUGAGGGUGAUGUUUCCGAGGGUGCUCCCUACCCACACUGCAGCGGGGUCCUCGUGUGCUCGCGGUGCAUUUUUGCAGCUGGCGACUUGAACUGGGUUGUGCACAAGCACCAUUGGUUUGCCAAUAAGUUUAACCUGGAUGUGGAACAUAGAUGUGGACCUCUUCGCCAUCCAGUGUUUGGGUGAGCACCGGAGGCAUAAAGCUUUAUAGACCUUAAAACACUGA
rnacentral:lncRNA from 1 species